UUUCAGGGGAAAAGUUCCAGGGAGUUCUCUGCAGAGCUGAGUGGACAGACGCCCUUGGGAUCUGCUGCAUUUAUUUGUUCAUCAAGAGAGCCCUGGAAAACCAAAUAGAAGAUGACUUUCCUUUAAAGAGACAGACUUCCUGAGUCAUUGUCUCUGAAUUCUCUCUCCACUGCUCCUCACUCAGACUGCUGACAGUUUCAUUCUACUGCAUCUAAAAGGGUAUUACUGUUGGGAACUCAUCUGUGUUGCCACAGAAAUUGCUCCCCAAAUCCCAGAUUCCCACCAUCAUGGAUCCCUACCUCACAACCAAAUCAACUCCUGGCCCAUUUUUCCUGCUUCUUCUGGAAACUUGAGGUCCUGGGAAAUCUUUCUAAAUGCUCUAUUUAUUGUAAAUCCAAAGAAGGAGAAAAUCUAGCUACUGCUGACUCUGCUUUUUGACAUUGACAUUGAAAUUUCUCAUACAAAACCGUUGGAUCUUCUCAGUCAUAAAUUGGGUCAGCUGCACAGCAAUCCACUGUAAGAUGGAAAUGGUACAUCUGGAACUGAACCUAAGCAAGAAUAGAGGCCAUGAGUAAACUGCAUGGGCAGGUAGGUGGUUCAGAACCCCCUAUCACCAACCAUGCUUGCACUUGUACCCCUCCUCAGCUUACCUUUAUAGCCAAUGAGGGAUCCCAUAAGACCAGUUGAUGGAAGAGGAAAAACCUUAACUUGGUGUACAUUUGUGUUGGUUCAGUAUGUGGAUAAAAGCUGGAAAUGAAACUACUGUAUCACAACCACACUCAGAGUUGGCACUGAAAGAAAGCGGAAAGGGAGAAACUUGUUGAUGGGCAGAGCUGCAGGUAAUACCCCUGCUCUCCGCCUUAUGUGGAAAUAGAAGUAGCCCAGGAUAAGAAUAUUUAUGUACUCAUGGGCCAUGGUCAAAGAGUUGACGUACUGCCUAGAGGUCUAGAAAGACAAGGACUGGAAGAUUUGGAACAAAAAAUCCUGGGGUAGAGGCAAGCAGACAAACCUCUGGGAGUGAGCAUCAAAGGUGAAGAGUUUUUUAUGAUAUGCUCGUGUCCGCCAUAAAGCAUCCACCACAGAACAGGAAUUGAACAUCCAAGCAGCCGAAAUGCCCAACCAAACCAAAGUUGACGUCAACCGGACUUCAUCAUUGGCUCUCCCCAGGACUGGCAUCAUAAAUUAUUGAAUGGACUCCUGAGUGGAGUGGCCACGGUACAGAGAUAGAGGUCCCACAUGGCCCUAGCUGCAUGGACUCCCACUUGAAAAACCUGAGCUAUUGCCCCUCUGAAUGUCCAACUUACCAGCAACAGAGACCAAUGCUGCGCCCCUAAUAUGGCCCUUCUCCUCCAGGAGACCAACUGAUCACUGGGUAGCUAUUUGUUCUCACAGCAAGGGACACCUAUUCUGGGUGUGGGUCUGCCUUUCAUGCCUGCACAACCUUAUGCUGCACCAUUAUCCAAUGGCACCGUUUUUUUGACUCAGAGCCAUUGAUGUGCUUUCUGCACAGUCUUGUCCUCUAUGCCAUCAGGAGCUUUGGUGGUAUAGCGUUUCUUAAAAAUGAAUCCAUAAAAAACCUGAAAGCCUUCGAUGCUGGGUGCUUUCUAAGCUAAAUUUUCAAUUAGGUAGAGUCAGCCUGCUAUGGUAGAAGCUGUGAUGUGCCACCCAGAUUCCCCUUCAGCCAGGAAGUUCUUAUUCCCCGAGCUGCUGGGAAUGUGGCUGGCAGACGGCCCUUACUUGUCAGUUCUUUCUGCGGAUUGCCUUAUUUGAAGAGGGCCACUUCACCCAAGGUGUGCCUCCUGAAAGUUGGCCAACACAGGGAUAUAAAGGUCUGGUCUCUUGCCCCAAAUUGGAACUACUGUAAAGGGUCGGCCAGCUUCAGAGCUCCCCAUGGGUUGGGCUGCAGCCCUCAUUGUGACCGUGUCAUGGCUCAAUUUCUCUCUCUGCCCAGUUGCGUCUUCCGUAGUUUUCGACCCCAAGGGCGUUCCCUAAUAAAACUUCUGCAUGGCCAUCUUCAUGUCAGCGUCUACUUCCUGGGGGGACUCAGCCUGCAACUCCUACUUCUGGGUUCUGUUUGGGGAGUGUUUUAUUGACUGCUUCUCUCCAUACAGCCCUCCAUACAACCAUUUUAUUCCUAAGGGUAAUGAAUGCUU